rnacentral:rRNA from 1 species
GAGCACGUAGGUGGGUUUGUAAGUCAGAUGUGAAAGCCUUCUGUUCAACGGGAGAAUUGCAUCUGAAACUGCUAAUCUUGAGUAUAGGAGGGGAGAAUGGAACUUCUGGUGGAGCGGUGAAAUGCGUAGAUAUCAGAAGGAACGCCGGCGGCGAAAGCGAUUCUCUGGCCUAUUACUGACACUCAGUGUGCGAAAGCUAGGGGAGCAAACGGGAUAGAUACCCCGUAGCAGCA